AAAGGAACUAAACAGGAUUCCCUUAGUAAUGGCGAACGAACAGGGAUCAGCUUGGGUUGGAAACCGGGGCUUCUGCCUUGGAUUGUGGCCUUUAGACAUACUACCAACGGCGGCGCGAGCGUAAGCCUCUUGGAACAGAGCGUCUACGUGGGUGAGAAUCCUGUGUUUCGCUUGAUGCCCGCCGUGCACGGUACUUGCUCUCAGAGUCACGCUCCUCGGAAUUGGAGCGUAAAUUGGGUGGUAAAUUUCAUCUAAAGCUAAAUACAGGCUCGAGACCGAUAGCAAACAAGUACCAUGAGGGAAAGAUGAAAAGGACUUUGAAAAGAGAGUUAAAAGUGCUUGAAAUCGCUGAACUGGAAGCGAAUGGAACUAGUGCUCUGGUUGAGAUUGCUGCAAGUGGCUGCGACAUCUGGGCUCUGGAACGCAAGUCCUUUGUCUGGUUUGAAGUAGUUGCUUGUAAUGUGUCUCAGCUUGAACAUCAAUGUCUAUGCAUACGUGAGGAUGGCCCUUAGCUCAUGCUGUGUUGCUGUGGCGAUACUCUUGUGCUUCUGGGGAUUCAGGUGUGUGUGGAUUGUUGAUCAAUUAGUUCCAUUCGACCCGUCUUGAAACACGGACCAAG
rnacentral:rRNA from 1 species